rfam:Ictidomys tridecemlineatus contig005949, whole genome shotgun sequence.
UUCUUUUGUUGGUUCGUAAGUGUGAUGAUUGGGUUUUCACACAUAAAUGUCAUGAUUGUGUAAGAGAUGAUUUCCUCAAAACAUGUUUUGCCAUUGACUCAUUACUUGUUUGAUC